AUGGAUCACACACUGAAACCGGUAUCGCGUAUCUGCGUUCUGGUGUUUUUCGACGACAUUCUAGUCUUCUCCAAGACCUUUACUGACCAUGUCAAGCAUCUUCGAGAAGUCUUACAACUCUUGCGCAAUGACCAAUGGCAGAUCAAAGCUUCCAAAUGCUUUUUCGCUCAACGAGAACUCUCCUAUCUGGGAUUUGUCAUCAGUGAACAAGGGGUUUCCACAGAACCUGAUAAAAUCAAGCAAGUGCAACAGUGGCCUCUUCCCAUCAAUGUCAAACAGCUCAGGCAAUUUUUGGGCCUUUCCGGUUACUACCGCAAAUUUGUUCGCCAUUAUGGUAUUAUAGCAAAGCCGUUGACACAUCUUUUGAAGAAAAACACCCCUUUUGUGUGGAUGAGUGAGUGCACAACGUCGUUUGAGACCUUGAAAACUGCACUAGUGACAGCUCCUGUCCUUGCCCUGCCAGACUUCUCAAAGCAGUUUGUCCUUGAAACCGAUGCUAGUGAUCUUGGCGUUGGAGCUGUUUUGCAACAAGACGGUCAUCCCUUGGCAUUUCUGAGUAAGCCUCUCGGUCCUCGCAAUAAGGGGCUUUCUACAUAUGAGAAGGAAUUGUUGGCUAUUUUAUUAGCAGUUGAACAUUGGCGGCAGUACCUCCAGACAGCAGAGUUCAUCAUCAAAACUGACCAACGCAGCUUAGUUCACUUGGAAGAUCAACGCUUGCACACCCCUUGGCAGCAAAAAGCUUUCACCAAGCUAUUGGGUCUUCGCUACAGAUUGUGCUACCGGAAA
rnacentral:rRNA from 1 species